rnacentral:rRNA from 1 species
GGAAUAUUGCACAAUGGGGGAAACCCUGAUGCAGCAACGCCGCGUGAGUGAAGAAGUAUUUCGGUAUGUAAAGCUCUAUCAGCAGGGAAGAAGAAAGACGGUACCUGACUAAGAAGCCCCGGCUAACUACGUGCCAGCAGCCGCGGUAAUACGUAGGGGGCAAGCGUUAUCCGGAUUUACUGGGUGUAAAGGGAGCGUAGACGGCGCGGCAAGUCUGAAGUGAAAGGCAGGGGCUUAACCCCUGAACUGCUUUGGAAACUGCCACGCUAGAGUGCUGGAGAGGUAAGUGGAAUUCCUAGUGUAGCGGUGAAAUGCGUAGAUAUUAGGAGGAACACCAGUGGCGAAGGCGGCUUACUGGACGAUAACUGACGCUGAGGCUCGAAAGCGUGGGGAGCAAAC